CAACCUUUAAGUAUUUCCAGACCCUUCCCCUUCUCUUUGUUUCUAGCAUUUUAUUUUGCACCAGUACUAUAAAUGCAGAACACACAUUUGUACAUCUUUGUACUGAGUUAGCAAGUCCUGGGGUUUAGAUGGGAAUAGAUGGAGAUAGGUGCCUGGGAUUUAAAAUCAUCUCACACCUCCAGCAACUCUCACCCUGAGAUACAUUUGUCUCUCUAGAAAUGUAGCAGUUCCCUGAAAUUUCAGCUAGUACAUUGAGGCAUGACACCUUGUAUUGUGCACUAAGUUGCAUUUCUGUUAGUUUUGGCCCAUCUUGACAGACUAGAGAGAUGGGCCAAAACUAACAAAAUGAAGUUCAACAGGGACAAAUGCAAGAUACUUCACUUCGGCAGAAAAAAUGGAAAUCAAAGAUACAGAAUGGGGGACGCCUGGCUUGACAGCAGUGUGUGCGAAAAAGACCUUGGAGUCCUUGUGGACAACAAGUUAAACAUGAGCCAACAAUGUGAUGCGGCUGCUAAAAAAGCCAACGGGAUUCUGGCCUGCAUCAAUAGGGGAAUAGCGUCUAGAUCCAGGGAAGUUAUGCUCCCCCUCUAUUCUGCCUUGGUCAGACCACACCUGGAAUACUGUGUCCAAUUUUGGGCACCACAGUUGAAGGGAGAUGUUGACAAGCUGGAAAGCGUCCAGAGGAGGGCGACUAAAAUGAUUAAGGGUCUGGAGAACAAGCCCUAUGAGGAGCGGCUUAAAGAGCUGGGCAUGUUUAGCCUGCAGAAGAGAAGGCUGAGAGGAGACAUGAUAGCCAUGUACAAAUACGUGAAGGGAAGUCAUAGGGAGGAGGGAGCAAGCUUGUUUUCUGCUGCCCUGCAGACUAGGACACGGAACAAUGGCUUCAAACUACAGGAAAGGAGAUUCCACCUGAACAUCAGGAAGAACUUCCUCACUGUGAGAGCUGUUCGACAGUGGAACUCUCUCCCCCGGGCCGUGGUGGAGGCUCCUUCUUUGGAGGCUUUUAAGCCAUUGUUCCGUGUCCUAGUCUGCAGGGCAGCAGAAAACAAGCUUGCUCCCUCCUCCCUAUGACUUCCCUUCACGUAUUUGUACAUGGCUAUCAUGUCUCCUCUCAGCCUUCUCUUCUGCAGGCUAAACAUGCCCAGCUCUUUAAGCCGCUCCUCAUAGGGCUUGUUCUCCAGACCCUUAAUCAUUUUAGUCGCCCUCCUCUGGACGCUUUCCAGCUUGUCAACAUCUCCCUUCAACUGUGGUGCCCAAAAUUGGACACAGUAUUCCAGGUGUGGUCUGACCAAGGCAGAAUAGAGGGGGAGCAUAACUUCCCUGGAUCUUUGGUGGAAGUUAACCCAGCAACUAAAGAGGAAAAGCAAGAAAGGAACAUCUGCAAGGUUUUAUAAGUUGACUGUUUUUAUUUGAAACCUUAACUAUGUGUGCCAAGUCUGCCAAGGACUUUGUGAAAAUAAAAUUUUGUUUGAUUGUUCUACUUGAAGUGCCUUUGGUUACUGGGAUUUCCAGAGCUUCUAAGUAAGGCCCCUGCAGUUCACCUGGGCAAAGGAAGAAGCACAUCCUAAAACUUUAAAAGGUGCCUGGGUGUGACGGCAUAGCAAGGGGACGCCCGGAUGUCUGAUGUAAUAAUAAUAAUAUAUUUAUAUACUGCCCUAUCUCCUCAAAGGACUCAGAGUGGUUUCCAACAUUACAAAAUAUACAGUCAGUUAAAAUAUAGCAAUUUAAAACAUUAGACACAAUAACAGAUGUACAUAACAAAUAAUCAGGAAAACACACAAUCCACCAUUUAAAACCUAAUAACAGAACUCCAUCAAU
ensembl:lncRNA